rnacentral:rRNA from 1 species
GACGAACGCUGGCGGCGUGCCUAAUACAUGCAAGUUGAGCGCUGAAGGUUGGUACUUGUACCAACUGGAUGAGCAGCGAACGGGUGAGUAACGCGUGGGGAAUCUGCCUUUGAGCGGGGGACAACAUUUGGAAACGAAUGCUAAUACCGCAUAAAAACUUUAAACACAAGUUUUAAGUUUGAAAGAUGCAAUUGCAUCACUCAAAGAUGAUCCCGCGUUGUAUUAGCUAGUUGGUGAGGUAAAGGCUCACCAAGGCGAUGAUACAUAGCCGACCUGAGAGGGUGAUCGGCCACAAUGGGACUGAGACACGGCCCCAACUCCUACGGGAGGCAGCAGUAGGGAAUCUUCGGCAAUGGACGAAAGUCUGACCGAGCAACGCCGCGUGAGUGAAGAAGGUUUUCGGAUCGUAAAACUCUGUUGGUAGAGAAGAACGUUGGUGAGAGUGGAAAGCCCAUCAAGUGACGGUAACUACCCAGAAAGGGACGGCUAACUACGUG